GCGGUAUUCGUACGGUAUUAAGCCGCAUAAUAUGCGUUCAUAUCCGUCGCAAGCGCGGCCAAUUUUUAGUAGUACGGACNUAGUGCCGUCGCUGGUAUUGGCCAGCUGUUGGUUGUACGGUAUUCUAGAACUGGCUAAAUUACCGGUCGGCGAUGCUACUGCUUUGGGUACUUUCAGGACCCGUCUUGAAACACGGACCAAGGAGUCUAACAUGUGCGCGAGUCAUUGGGAUUUUUUUAAAAUUAAACCUAAAGGCGUAAUGAAAGUAAAGGUCGUCCUUGCGUCGACCGAGGGAGGAUGAGUUGUUUUACGAUACAGCUCCGCACUCCCGGGGCGUCUCAU
rnacentral:rRNA from 1 species